GAGUUUGAUCCUGGCUCAGGAUGAACGCUAGCGGCAGGCCUAACACAUGCAAGUCGAGGGGUAACAGGGGAGCUUGCUCCCGCUGACGACCGGCGCACGGGUGAGUAACGCGUGAAACCUGCCCACUACAGGGGGAUAGCCCGGGGAAACCCGGAUUAAUACCCCAUAAUACCAUAAAGCGGCAUCGUUUAAUGGUUAAAGCUUCGGCGGUAGUGGUUGGGCAUGCGUGCCAUUAGCUUGUUGGUGAGGUAACGGCUCACCAAGGCUACGAUGGCUAUGGGGUCUAAAAGGAUGGUCCCACACACUGGUACUGAGACACGGACCAGACUCCUACGGGAGGCAGCAGUGAGGAAUAUUGGUCAAUGGGCGAAAGCCUGAACCAGCCAUCCCGCGUGAAGGACGACUGCCCUAUGGGUUGUAAACUUCUUUUAUGUGCCAAGAAUGUGACCUACGUGUAGCUUACUGCCGGUACCGUAUGAAUAAGCAUCGGCUAACUCCGUGCCAGCAGCCGCGGUAAUACGGAGGAUGCGAGCGUUAUCCGGAUUUAUUAGGUUUAAAGGGUGCGUAGGCGGAAAAUUAAGUCAGUGGUGAAAUCCUACAGCUUAACUGUAGAACUGCCAUUGAAACUGUGAUUCUUGAGUACAAUUGAGGUAGGCGGAAUGUGUCAUGUAGCGGUGAAAUGCAUAGAGAUGACACAGAACACCGAUUGCGAAGGCAGCUUACUAAAUUGUUACUGACGCUGAUACACGAAAGCGUGGGUAGCGAACAGGAUUAGAUACCCUGGUAGUCCACGCCGUAAACGAUGAUUACUCGUUGUGUGCGAUACACAGUACGCGACUGAGCGAAAGCAUUAAGUAAUCCACCUGGGGAGUACGUUGGCAACAAUGAAACUCAAAGGAAUUGACGGGGUCCCGCACAAGCGGAGGAACAUGUGGUUUAAUUCGAUGAUACGCGAGGAACCUUACCUGGACUUAAAUGUAGAUUGACAGGACUAGAGAUAGUUUUUUCUUCGGAUAAUUUACAAGGUGCUGCAUGGUUGUCGUCAGCUCGUGCCGUGAGGUGUCGGGUUAAGUCCCAUAACGAGCGCAACCCACGUUGUUAGUUACCAGCACAUAAUGGUGGGCACUCUAACAAGACUGCCGGUGUAAACCGCGAGGAAGGUGUGGAUGACGUCAAAUCAGCACGGCCCUUACGUCCAGGGCUACACACGUGUUACAAUGGCCGGUACAGAGGGCAGCUACUAGGUGACUAGAUGCGAAUCUCCAAAACCGGUCUCAGUUCGGAUCGAAGUCUGCAACCCGACUUCGUGAAGCUGGAUUCGCUAGUAAUCGCAUAUCAGCCAUGAUGCGGUGAAUACGUUCCCGGGCCUUGUACACACCGCCCGUCAAACCAUGGAAGUUGGGGGUACCUGAAGUCUGUCACCGUAAGGAGCGGCCUAGGGUAAAACUGGUAACUAGGGUUAAGUCGUAACAAGGUAGCC
rnacentral:rRNA from 1 species